AUGCUGAGACACUUCAACAGAUUCAGAGACAUUACCCUUUUUACCCACCAGGCUGCGCCCUUGUCUGCCGGUAAUAUAAAGAUUUCUAACCUGGAACAAAAUCAGUUAUUCUGUGUAUCUGUGCACUUUACAAUUACACACACACACACACACACACACACACACACACACACACACACACACACACACACACACACACACACACACACACACACACUUAGGUCCAAACUCACCUCCCGUUUCCAAAGACCACAUCAAAGACUUGAAAACUUUGUUUUUGUGGUUUUAAGUUCACAGAUGGUAAAUUUUUAAUCAUAUAAUUAUAUUUGUGACGUAGAUUUUUAGCUUCCAAAUGUCAUAUUUGCAGAUGGUUACACACAUCCUGUCUCCAUCUCUUUGAGCUGCAGGUAAAUCUGAACCGGGAUGAAUCCGUGUCCUUCCACACCCUCAGUUCUCCCCGUGGCUGUGUGGAGCAGCAGCGUUUCUGUGAAGGUUCACACGCAGGAGCGCUGUUUACACAGAAGGAAGAUUCCUGCUCUGUGGGACCAGAGUGUUGAAGCUUUGAUGCUCAAUAGGAGCUACUGGACG